AGAUCGGGUAGCGACAAGCGACACGCGGCAUCAGGUAGUGAGUGGCGCGCGUCUAAAGCGUCAUCUAUGGUGACGUUGUCGUGGAGCGCCUUAUCUGAGCGUUUUAAAAGAUGACUUCGCGUUUCGUGUAUUUGAUGGAGAAUAUGCACAGAGGCGCGGGGGCCGGACAUCGCAGGGGCCAGCUUUGGAGUCGCCAUUAAUCCCAAAUCACACUGUUUGGAGGUUGUGGGAUUCGUGAGACUGUACGCUUUACACCAAUCUCACGAUGCAUUGAGAGAUGUCCUGUAUCUGACUUUGGGUCUCCUUCCGGAGGAUUAUGCUCAGCAAGUCCUCCAUUCCAGUUGGCCUAGUGACCUCUCUGAGAUCUUCCCCAUGCAGAAGAGCAGCAUCUCUCCGGAUUGUCAGAUUCUGCACCCCGACAUGCUGUAAGGAGUUCUUACUUUAGUGGUUUGUCAUUGUCACCAGCCAGGACACAUGACUGUCACUGAGGAUGUGGGCCUUGAUGGACAAUAACAUGCCCACUGUAUUAUGCCACUUCAGCAGUUUGGUGGACUGUCCCACUAUUAUUUCUGAGCAAGACAUGGAGGUGGUUAUGCACACUGACCUGGAGGAGCUGGGUGAGGAGCACGGUCUGGCCUCACAUUUUGGACAUGCCAAUCUUGUCAUUUUAAGGGUUUCACAGCGUGUGAUAUCUGGAGGUUGGAGUCUGGUGAAGUCAUAAGUGCAACAUCAUCCCCUCACCUCAGGAAGCCAGACGGGUCCAUUCCUGUCCUUUUCCCCCAAUGGUGUUAGGACAUAGACCGUGUUGGGUUAAGGAAGUUUCUGCAUUAUUUCAAACUGUCAAAGCGUUUUUCCAAUAUGUCUCAUCACCCAAAUAACUGCCAUAAUGCAGUCAUUUGUGUUAUCCUUGGCAUUUCUAAAGUAUUGCCAUUGAUAUUCCUUGUUUUUUGUUUAUGUAAGCCCCAGUGCUUCAGCAUUCGAGAACAAGUGUGCAAAUUUACCAUCAGUUACUGAAUUGAAUAUGAAGCCAUUUAUUAAGAGCUGUGCUACAAAAGGGAUUUUGGGAUUCACACAGCAGGCAGCCCUCCAGGGAGUCUCCACAUUCAAUAAAUGAAGAGAGAAGAUAAGACUCUCUUCUGUCUUGAAUGACAAGAGCAAGUCUCCUGUGUGAUAAACCGUUUGGCGGAGCACCACUUCAUGCAGAGUCCCCCUUCUGGGCCCGUUUGUUACGCUCAUGCAGAGCACGGGAACUGUUGGCAGUAAAGAUGUGCCGCUGUGCGUUACUGCAGAGUAUGGAAGGACGUUGAGGUUUUCAUGAAGAUCGUAUACACAGGCCCUACAUGCCAUGGAUUGUGUCAAACGUCAAAGCAUCGUUUGGAAUUCAAAAAUACUCUUACCUCUAAAGCCAUUUUUUUCACUAUUUCAUUCGAGGACAAUUGCUGAUGUUCUUGGCUUGGAGAAACCACCUUACGCUGCAUAGCAGAUCUCUUCAAAAGACCCCGUCAACCAAAACUGUCAAAUGACUUUCCCUAUUUGCAAUCCCUUGCUUUAGCUUGACUAAAUCUUAGCUUUGCAAGUCAGUGAAAACCAGGUGAGGUAGUCGCCUUUACAUUUCUAAACUACAGAGCAUGACAAGCGAAGUCAUGAGUCGGAGGGGCCUAAUGAUAAAACAAUUCCGUUUCUCUGCUCAUUGCAAAGGCGAGGCCUCCUCCAUCAAG